rnacentral:lncRNA from 1 species
AUGUUCCACAUGCACUCUAAAUCAAUAUAUAUUCAAAUGUUACUGAGAGGAGUGUUCACAGAUGCCCACUAGGUUUAGAUGGUCCACAAUGCUGUUCAAAUUUGUUUUUAUCCUUUGCUUAGUAGUUUUAUUCAUCAUUGAGUGUGGAAUAUUGAGGAGGCCUUCAACUAGUAUUUCUGGAUUUUGCAUUUCUCUGCAUUUCCACCAAGUUUGUUGUUCUGUAUAAUUUUGUGUUGCUUACUGACAGGAAUACUGAGAAAUACAUUAUUUAGUCAUUUCAGUAUUAUGUGGUAUCUUAAAGUAUAUUUAUACAAACUAAGAGAGUCAGGAUGUUGCUAGGUUAUAUAAUUUUAUUGGAACAUUAUUGAUCAAAAACAUUAUUAUGUGAUGUAUGGCUAUAUUUUUGGUGCUUUAUUAUUAGAUGCACAUAUAUUUUGCAUUGUUCUAUCUGUCUGUUGAAUUUAUGUUUUAUCAUUUGCUAUGGUUUGUAUAAGUGUCCCCCACAGACCUAUGUGUUAAUGACAUGAUCACCACUUUAUGGCACCAUAGGGAGAAUGUAGAGCUUUUAAGAGGAGGGUCCUGAUGAGAGAAAAUCUUCUUCUUUGGGUCAUGCCCUUGAUGAAAUUUUGGGACCCUGAAUUUUCUUAUUUCUCUCUAUUUGCUCUCUGGUUAAUAUGAGGGGAUCAAUUUUUUUCCACCAAAUGUUCCCUAGUGUGAUUCUUAUUGGGCCACAGGUUACAUGGCAGCAGGACCAGCUGCCCAUGGAAUGCAAUUUCUGAAACUGAGCCAAAAGAAGCCUUUCCAAUUUAUAUAUUGAUUACCUUAGGUGUUUUGUCACAGUGAUGGAAAGCUGUCUAAAGAAUCAUUUCAAAAUUCCCUGUUUAUCACUACUCCCAGUAAAUAGGCUAUUUUUUAAAUAUGUGUGUAAGUUCUCCAGGUUUAUCAUGGUUGCUGUUAAUAUAUCAAUGGGUCACAUAUUAGAUUUUAAUGUACUUGUGACUGUGAAGUAUGACUCCUUCCGCAUAGUCUGCUCUUAUUCUUUUGCCUAAAGCAACAAUCUGACCUUGUGAUUGUCUUGGUCAUUCCACUUCCACUUAAUGUUAAUAUUUAUACAGUUGAAUUUGUUUGUCAUUUAACCAUUUGAUUUCCAUAUUUUUUAUUCAAUUCUCCCUAACAUAGUCUGCAUGUGUCACAUGGAUAUUUUGUAGUAUUUUAAUUCUCUUAAUCAUUUUCUCUAGAGUUUACUUAAUGGUUGCUUGGAGGAUCUACUGUAUACAUCCGAUCUUACUAGAAACCACUUUGGAAACUACUAACUCAAUUUCAGUGAAAUGUAAAAACACCACCUCUAUAGUUCCAUUUGUUCUUCUUCCUCUUUGUGUGCUUAAUAUUAAACAUAUCCUGUCUGAAUGUUAUCCACUGAACAUAUGUAUAAAUAUUAUACCUUUAUGUAAUUAAGGAAUUUUUUUGUUUAUGUGCCUUCAAAGACACUCACUGUUGUACAACACAGAGUCUACCAUCACCAGCAUAUUCUACAUCUCAGAAUUUUUAUUGUUGCAAAUUUAAUUUUUGCUUUUUAUGUAUCUUUCAUGUGUCUUAUGUAAAUUACUGAGUAUAAUGUCAUUCAUUGUUCAUUUUAAGCUUAGUGUCAGUUCUGGGCUAGAUUGAUUGCUUUUAUUUGUUUUCUGAAAUGCAUUUUCUUGCUUUCAUUGUAUUCUUGGUGGCUUUUAAUUUAAUAUCAGACAUUCUGACUUAACCAAGUUAGAUGCCAAUUAUUUUUGCAUGUCAUUUACAUUGUUCAGCAUUUAUUACUGAGACAAAUGAAGUCAUUCAAGACCUGUUUGGUUUUUUUGUGUGUGUGUUCUGUCUUUUAACAUUUUUAGGUAAACCAGAAAGUGGCUAAUUAUUUACCACUUUGGAAAUGAGACCCUUCUGAAUAUUCUAUUCAGUGCCCA